rnacentral:rRNA from 1 species
GAGCACCUCUGCUACCUAAAGAUGCGGUCGUACGAAGCCUUCGGGCUUAGUGGCGCACGGGUGCGUAACGCGUGGGAAUCUGCCCUUGGGUUCGGAAUAACAGUUAGAAAUGACUGCUAAUACCGAAUGAUGUCGUAAGACCAAAGAUUUAUCGCCCAGGGAUGAGCCCGCGUAGGAUUAGCUAGUUGGUGUGGUAAAGGCGCACCAAGGCGACGAUCCUUAGCUGGUCUGAGAGGAUGAUCAGCCACACUGGGACUGAGACACGGCCCAGACUCCUACGGGAGGCAGCAGUGGGGAAUAUUGGACAAUGGGCGAAAGCCUGAUCCAGCAAUGCCGCGUGAGUGAUGAAGGCCUUAGGGUUGUAAAGCUCUUUUACCCGGGAUGAUAAUGACAGUACCGGGAGAAUAAGCUCCGGCUAACUCCGUGCCAGCAGCCGCGGUAAUACGGAGGGAGCUAGCGUUAUUCGGAAUUACUGGGCGUAAAGCGCACGUAGGCGGCUUUGUAAGUUAGAGGUGAAAGCCUGGAGCUCAACUCCAGAACUGCCUUUAAGACUGCAUCGCUUGAAUCCAGGAGAGGUGAGUGGAAUUCCGAGUGUAGAGGUGAAAUUCGUAGAUAUUCGGAAGAACACCAGUGGCGAAGGCGGCUCAC